rnacentral:rRNA from 1 species
AUUGAACGCUGGCGGCAGGCCUAACACAUGCAAGUCGAAUGGUAACAGGAAACAGCUUGCUGUUUCGCUGACGAGUGGCGGACGGGUGAGUAAUGUCUGGGAAACUGCCUGAUGGAGGGGGAUAACUACUGGAAACGGUAGCUAAUACCGCAUAGCGUCGCAAGACCAAAGAGGGGGACCUUCGGGCCUCUUGCCAUCAGAUGUGCCCAGAUGGGAUUAUCUAGUAGGUGGGGUAACGGCUCACCUAGGCGACGAUCCCUAGCUGGUCUGAGAGGAUGACCAGCCACACUGGAACUGAGACACGGUCCAGACUCCUACGGGAGGCAGCAGUGGGGAAUAUUGCACAAUGGGCGCAAGCCUGAUGCAGCCAUGCCGCGUGUAUGAAGAAGGCCUUCGGGUUGUAAAGUACUUUCAGCGGGGAGGAAGGGAGUAAAGUUAAUACCUUUGCUCAUUGACGUUACCCGCAGAAGAAGCACCGGCUAACUCCGUG